rnacentral:lncRNA from 1 species
UUCAAGCAUUUCUCCCAUCGCAGCCUCCUGAGUAGCUGGGAUUAAAGAUGCUGAGCCAGGGAGGCGGCCCUUCCAGCAGCCAUGAGGGAAGGACAGGAGAUGGGGCCCACCCCAGUGCCCAGCAACCCCCUGCUCCACCGCUCAUUCCCCUGCUGGCCCCGGGGCUGGUCUCACCCAGUGCCAACCCGAGAGCUCCUUUUGGAACCUGCACAGCCCGCCGACCUGUUGCCACCUGCACCCACCGCUGGACCAUGCAGCCUCGCCUCCUGGAUGCUGUCCCAGCCUGGCCGAGGGUCCCAGGUGAAGACUGGAGGGACCCCAACAGCCACCGCCCAGGACGCUGAGGCUCCCUUGCCUGACUGUGACUUGUGCCUCUCUCCUGCCCCCGUGGGGACAUGGCAGCCCAGAGCCAAGGCUGGGUGGGCAGGUGACCCAAGGAACCUUUCUGGGAACACCUUCUCGCCGGGCUGGGAACAAUAAAUGCAGCCAUGUCUCUGCAGCUGGUGCUGACCCCAUGCCA